rnacentral:rRNA from 4 species
AUAACGACUCUCGGCAACGGAUAUCUCGGCUCUCGCAUCGAUGAAGAACGUAGCGAAAUGCGAUACUUGGUGUGAAUUGCAGAAUCCCGUGAACCAUCGAGUCUUUGAACGCAAGUUGCGCCCUAAGCCAUUUGGCCGAGGGCACGUCUGCCUGGGCGUCAAUC